rnacentral:rRNA from 1 species
UGGCCCAGAUCGUUUACCGUGAAAAAAUUAGAGUGUUCAAAGCAGGCAGAUCCAAUUUUCUGCCACCGAAUACAUUAGCAUGGGAUAAUGGAAUAGGACCCUGUCCUCCUAUUUUCAGUUGGUUUUGGCAGCGCGAGGACUAGGGUAAUGAUUAAUAGGGAUAGUUGGGGGCAUUAAUAUUUAAUUGUCAGAGGUGAAAUUCUUGGAUUUAUGAAAGAUUAACUUCUGCGYYYYGCWUCAACCAAGGAUGUUUUCAUUAAUCAAGAAMGAAAGUUAGGGGAUCGAAGACGAUCAGAUACCGUCGUAGUCUUUCCCUUUCCAUCCGACCAGCGAUUAGGAGACGUUGAAYWCUCCMUYUCCCCAUCGGCGCGGUCGUCCYYGGCGWWGUGCGGCUUCCACGGCUGGCGGCGCGAGGGCCGGUWSGSC